AUCCCACUUUCCACAGCUUAAGCCAGUGUGUUUCUGCUAUUUGUGCCCUCCUUCCGACUCCCCUGAACCUGCCCAGAUCAUCAAGAUCUACACUGUCCAGCGGCUUCUGGAUGUGUACUGCUGGGGAAGAGGACUCCAGUACUUGGUAGAUUGGGAUGGACAUGGCCUGGAGGACAGGAGUUCCCUCACUCUUUUAUUAUGGAACCCCAGCAUUGAGGGACUUUCAUCAAGCCUACCCGGAGAAGCCUUGUAGGUUGCCAGCAGGCUCCCAUUUAGUGGGAGGUACUAUCAUGGUUCGGCCCUACCUCUUUUUCUUUCCCUGUGUUUUCCUGUCGUUAUCCCCCCCAAGUUUUUUGUUUGUUCAUGUGUGUGUCCCUCUGGGAUUGGUUCUCCUUGGCUGCUCGGUGGUUACCCGCCUCCUGCACACCUGAGACUUAUUCCACUAAUCAGACUCUGCAACACAUCUUCCCCCAGCUCUCCACUCCAGUUUUGCCAGAUCGUUUCAUUCACCAGUGCGCACCAGGAUCAUUCCACUUAGCGUGCCUUGCUCUCAGCCAUACAGCUUCUCUCAUCAAUUCCCACCUACACACUAAAAAGGAAAUGGCUUCCACGGUGCUGACGGAGGACGAACAUGACGUGAUGAAUACAGUUGCAAAAUCACCAACAAAAGGAAGGAGUGUGAUGGAGUAAUGGGAGGUUUAGGAUGAGAGACAGCUGUGGCAACCAAACUAUAGUACUCCGCCCCUGAGCUUUAAGCAAUGGAAUGAUUACAACAUCCUAUUAGCACCACAGAGCAAAAAUUGGAUCCUGAUUUUGCGGUCAAACCUUCCAACUGUCAAAACCUGAGAUUCUGGUGCAAUGAGACACC